UACGUAGGUGGCAAGCGUUGUCCGGAUUUACUGGGCGUAAAGGGCGUGCAGGCGGUUUGUUAAGUGCAGGGUGAAAGCUCCCGGCUCAACUGGGAGAGGUCCUUGCAUACUGGCAAACUCGAGGGAGGCAGAGGAAAGUGGAAUUCCCGGUGUAGUGGUGAUAUGCGUAGAUAUUGGGAGGAACACCUGUGGCGAAGGCGGCUUUCUGGGCCUUACCUGACGCUGAGACGCGAAAGCGUGGGGAGCGAACCGG
rnacentral:rRNA from 1 species